AAUGUCACUUUUAUAAACAAAUAAAAGUUAAAACUUAACAAUAUUAUUGUAAAUUUGCAAUUGGAAGCUGCAAAAGGGACAUUAGAAUGUCAGAAAGGUCGGACCAAUUUUCAAUUUAAGUGGAAUUUACGGAAGGUGCAAAGAUUUGACCUCACAACUAAUCUGCAAAAUGAAGAAGCAACAUAUUUUGUUACCGCUUAGAAGAAACAAUAGAAAUAGUACUGUGGAUUGAUAAAUAAAGAGUGAAAAUAAGAUUGAUUAGAAGUUGAUAAAGUCCAAGGAAUUAAAAAACAAUAGAAAAAAAACGUAGACUAGUGUGAACACUGAUAUUAGAGUUUAAUUUAAGCUUUAAUUAGGUUUGGUGUUUGUGCUUGAACAUUUUUAAUGUCAAUUUGAAAGCAGAUUUUUAUAUAAGUGUAGAUUUUAUUAGUGAUUUGCUACUAGUUGGAAUUAUCUCUGUUUAUGUCCAUCAAACAAUUUCAGUUUAAGUUAGAGUCAUAAAGGUUGAUUGUUUAUAAUAAAUUUAUACUUUUAGAAAGUGAGAAUUGAAAAGCAGCAAGUACUCAAUGAAAUGAAAAGAGGGAUUAAUCAAAAUUAUAAAAUAGAAACUUAGUCUGGUAUGAAAUUAUAACCCUUAAUCAACCUUUGUUUCCAUAUUGAUGCUCCAACAUCUUAGAUAUAAAUUUAAGUUUGAUUCUGAUUUAAAGUUAAUAUUUAUGUCAAUUAACUUUUGGUUAUAUCAGUGAUAUGCUACUAGUUUAUAUGUAAAUGCAAAUUCUGUUUAAGUAAGAAAUGAAUAAACAUUGUAUGUUAUGUA